AAAAAUGACUACCGUUUUUUGAUCAAUGUCUGCCGUGUUUUUGAUGCGCGUGGGCAUUUCUGCUUUGCUGAGUUCAUUCUGUGUUGUGCUUUUUCGAUUAUUUUUCGUUGAGUUGAGCCCCUGCUCCUCCGGUAUCGUUGUUAAAAAGUGCUGUACAGAUUACGUGCAAAUCAGGACAAUAUUUAGUGCUAUUUGAUUGUUUUCCGUUGAGUUGAGUCCCUUCUCCUCCGGUUAAUCAUUUUAGUGCUAAACGAAACAUUUUUUAUUUCUCGUGUUGUGAGUAGCAGUCAUGUCGGACAAAAAAUGUUGUGUUCCGGGAUGUCCCCAAAAAGAAGUGCUGCAUCGGUUUCCGGAUCCAGAAAAGGAAAAAGAGCGGUUUGAUCUUUGGGUCAAUUCCAUAGGAGGCAAUAUACUGACUUUACAAAAUGAAUUCAUUCAUAAAUAUCGGCGUGUUUGUAACACUCAUUUUGCAGAAAAGUAUUAUUGCCGCAACAAUCGAAUCAGCAAACUAGCAAUAACAACUUUAUUGUUGCCUGACUCUUCACUGAUUGAAAAUAG